UGCGUAGGCGGAUGUUUAAGUCAGAUGUGAAAGCCCCGGGCUCAACCUGGGAACUGCAUUUGAUACCGGGCAUCUAGAGUGUAGUAGAGGGGGGUAGAAUUCCUAGUGUAGCGGUGAAAUGCGUAGAUAUUAGGAGGAAUACCAGUGGCGAAGGCGGCCCCCUGGACUAACACUGACGCUGAGGUACGAAAGCGUGGGGAGCAAACA
rnacentral:rRNA from 1 species